CUGAGACCGAUGCGCGUACAUCCGUCCUCCCGUCGUGUCGUCGUGGCUGGCACUCGCUGUCGACCGCGGUGGCUGGCGGGGCUCAUAGGGCGGCGCGCUCCGCUUUGGUGACUCUGGAUAACUCACUGGUCGAUCGCACGGGCUCCCAUGCUCGGCGACGGGUCUCUCGAGGGUCCGCCCUAUCAACU
rnacentral:rRNA from 1 species